CACGUAGGGCGCAAGCGUUGUCCGGAAUUAUUGGGCGUAAAGAGCUCGUAGGCGGUCUGUUGCGUCCGCUGUGAAAACCCGGGGCUUAACCCCUGGCUUGCAGUGGAUACGGACAGACUAGAGGUAGGUAGGGGAGAAUGGAAUUCCCGGUGUAGCGGUGAAAUGCGCAGAUAUCGGGAGGAACACCGGUGGCGAAGGCGGCUCCUCGUGGGACGGUACUGGACGCAUGAGGCGG
rnacentral:rRNA from 1 species